rfam:Ricinus communis ctg_1100012358147, whole genome shotgun sequence.
GUUGGGAAAUGAUGAGAGGUUACCUCAAAUUAUCUGAGGCACUAGCUCUGCUGAAUGUCUAAUUUGCACGUCAGUCUGAUCCCAUG